rnacentral:rRNA from 1 species
UGGGGAAUAUUGGACAAUGGGCGAAAGCCUGAUUCAGCCAUGCCGCGUGUGUGAAGUAGGUCUUCGGAUUGUAAAGCACUUUAAGUUGGGAGGAAGGGCAGUAAGCGAAUACCUUGCUGUUUUGACGUUACCGACAGAAUAAGCACCGGCUAACUCUGUGCCAGCAGCCGCGGUAAUACAGAGGGUGCAAGCGUUAAUCGGAAUUACUGGGCGUAAAGCGCGCGUAGGUGGUUCGUUAAGUUGAAUGUGAAAGCCCCGGGCUCAACCUGGGAACUGCAUCCAAAACUGGCGAGCUAGAGUAGGGCAGAGGGUGGUGGAAUUUCCUGUGUAGCGGUGAAAUGCGUAGAUAUAGGAAGGAACACCAGUGGCGAAGGCGACCACCUGGGCUCAUACUGACACUGAGGUGCGAAAGCGUGGGGAGCAAACAGG